GACGAACGCUGGCGGCGUGCCUAAUACAUGCAAGUCGAACGCAGUGGGGACGGGGGAGUAACACGUGGGUAACCACCCAUAAAAGGGGAUAAAACUUGGAAACAGGUGCUAAACCGAUACUGAUGGAUGGAGCAGCGGUGCAUUGGCCAGUCGGUGAGGUAACGGCUCACAAAGGCCACGAGUCAUAGCCGGCCUGAGAGGGUGAUCCGCCACACUGGAACUGAGACACGGUCCAGACUCCUACGGGAGGCAGCAGUGGGGAAUCUUCGGCAAUGGACGAAAGGCUGACCGAGCAACGCCGCGUGUGUGAAGAAGGUUUUCGGAUCGUAAACCUCUGUUGUUGGGGAAGCGGUAUCUAACCAGAAAGCCACGGCUAACUACGUGCCAGCAGCCGCGGUAAUAC
rnacentral:rRNA from 1 species